UAGCGGCGGACGGGUGAGUAACACGUGGGUAACCUGCCUGUAAGACUGGGAUAACUCCGGGAAACCGGGGCUAAUACCGGAUGGUUGUCUGAACCGCAUGGUUCAGACAUAAAAGGUGGCUUCGGCUACCACUUACAGAUGGACCCGCGGCGCAUUAGCUAGUUGGUGAGGUAACGGCUCACCAAGGCGACGAUGCGUAGCCGACCUGAGAGGGUGAUCGGCCACACUGGGACUGAGACACGGCCCAGACUCCUACGGGAGGCAGCAGUAGGGAAUCUUCCGCAAUGGACGAAAGUCUGACGGAGCAACGCCGCGUGAGUGAUGAAGGUUUUCGGAUCGUAAAGCUCUGUUGUUAGGGAAGAACAAGUGCCGUUCAAAUAGGGCGGCACCUUGACGGUACCUAACCAGAAAGCCACGGCUAACUACGUGCCAGCAGCCGCGGUAAUACGUAGGUGGCAAGCGUUGUCCGGAAUUAUUGGGCGUAAAGGGCUCGCAGGCGGUUUCUUAAGUCUGAUGUGAAAGCCCCCGGCUCAACCGGGGAGGGUCAUUGGAAACUGGGGAACUUGAGUGCAGAAGAGGAGAGUGGAAUUCCACGUGUAGCGGUGAAAUGCGUAGAGAUGUGGAGGAACACCAGUGGCAAAGGCGACUCUCUGGUCUGUAACUGACGCUGAGGAGCGAAAGCGUGGGGAGCGAACAGGAUUAGAUACCCUGGUAGUCCACGCCGUAAACGAUGAGUGCUAAGUGUUAGGGGGUUUCCGCCCCUUAGUGCUGCAGCUAACGCAUUAAGCACUCCGCCUGGGGAGUACGGUCGCAAGACUGAAACUCAAAGGAAUUGACGGGGGCCCGCACAAGCGGUGGAGCAUGUGGUUUAAUUCGAAGCAACGCGAAGAACCUUACCAGGUCUUGACAUCCUCUGACAAUCCUAGAGAUAGGACGUCCCCUUCGGGGGCAGAGUGACAGGUGGUGCAUGGUUGUCGUCAGCUCGUGUCGUGAGAUGUUGGGUUAAGUCCCGCAACGAGCGCAACCCUUGAUCUUAGUUGCCAGCAUUCAGUUGGGCACUCUAAGGUGACUGCCGGUGACAAACCGGAGGAAGGUGGGGAUGACGUCAAAUCAUCAUGCCCCUUAUGACCUGGGCUACACACGUGCUACAAUGGACAGAACAAAGGGCAGCGAAACCGCGAGGUUAAGCCAAUCCCACAAAUCUGUUCUCAGUUCGGAUCGCAGUCUGCAAGCUGGAUCUGACGUGAAGACUGGAAUCGCUAA
rnacentral:rRNA from 1 species